rnacentral:rRNA from 1 species
AUGUGGUUUAAUUCGAAGCAACGCGAAGAACCUUACCAGGUCUUGACAUCCUUUUGAAUGGUCUAGAGAUAGAUCAGGCCUUCGGGACAGAAGAGACAGGUGGUGCAUGGUUGUCGUCAGCUCGUGUCGUGAGAUGUUGGGUUAAGUCCCGCAACGAGCGCAACCCUUAUCAUUAGUUGCUAACAUUCAGUUGAGAACUCUAAUGAGACUGCCAGUGAUAAACUGGAGGAAGGUGGGAUGACGUCAAAUCAUCAUGCCCCUUAUGACCUGGGCUACACACGUGCUACAAUGGCCGGUACAAAGAGUUGCGAAACUGUGAAGUUAAGCUAAUCUCAUAAAGCCGGUCUCAGUUCGGAUUGUAGUCUGCAACUCGACUACAUGAAGUCGGAAUCGCUAGUAAUCGCGAAUCAGAAUGUCGCGGUGAAUACGUUCUCGAGUCUU